CGAGGUCCCGCUGUCCAUUGACGGACCUAAAAACAUGGCCGCCAUCGAGGGCUUAUAAUCUAACUACCGAGCAAGACUUUCUAUAGCAGAAACCUCCAGUUAUGUUCGCGGGAUCUGGGCGCAAUUCGUACCCUUGAUGCCUCCAGAUCUGAGCUACCGAACGAUGCAUGGAAUGAACUAUAUUCGCUUUAUAAUGCCUAAGUUAUAUAUUUUUAUACUGUUUGCUGGAACGCAAUAAAGCAUGGUCUUUUGGGCGCUUGGAGAUAAUCAGAUUGUAUAACCAUUGGCCCCAUUAUCUCCAAGCUGGGCGGGUAUUAGUUUAAAUGAUACACUGUACUGUGAUUGGUCGAAUACUUGUACUGUACCUGUAUCCCAUCGGGUCCAUGGGGGGCUGUCCCUGGACCUGGGGACGUGCAUAAAUUACCAUGCUUGUGUGCCAGUAAAGCCUCAACUCGCAGCCUCGACUCGUGUUGUAGGGAUUCGGGAAAACCUAGCGUAGUAUAGCUUAUGGACCAUUUUAUACUUUUAGCGUUCUACCGAUUGUAAUCUCGUUCGGCUAGACCGGAGGCAAUCGUAACAGCGCGUAAUUCCAGUUCCUGCAUUCCUGCACAUGCUCAGUACAUUGAUGACAGUAUCUUAGCUACGUGUAACUAACUAACUGAUACUACAAACACAUGUACCUACAUAUGCCACGUGGCAAUCUUGGCCUACUAAACUUUUAUUUUACUGGAAUUCCAUCACAUCCCCCCUUUGAUCCUUCUGAUUUAAAAUAAUUCCAGAUGCAUCACCAAUCAUAGUUUGCCAACACCUCUCAAGUAGCCAUGAACCAGAACAGACCUCGUAAGCAUCCUUGGCAUAUUCUUUUAGCAUUCCCCAUCCUGAAUAUGCUCUCUCUGGGCUAAAGGUUCAUAUUUACAGACAGCCAUUACAUGGGCAGCUGUUUUCCUCUCAAUAGUGCUGUCUAUAACACUUCAUAUGGACCUGACCACUAAUGGAAUUAAGCAGGGCAGAAUGAGACACAUGAAUAUAAUAAAUACUACUCCUCCUCCUAAUGCCUUAAUCCCUCCAAGCUGCUCAUACCAACUUCCAAACCAACUACUUGGGUUAUACCCACUCCAGAUCUGAGUAGGUACAUGCGCAAGUUUAAUCAUGUGACUGGUAAGUUCAGCCACUGCCCGCCCUUCAUCGUCUAUAUGCAGGAAACAGUUACUUAGAUUAAACUUCCCGCAUACACCUCCCUCUACUGCUAAUAAAUAGUCCAGAGUUAAACUAUUUUGAUAGAUGGCUGAUCUCAUUCGGGUAUUAUGUUUAGCUAGGAGAUUGAGCGCUUGUGCUGUCUCAUUGGUGAUAAUCUCAACCACCGCCUGUAGUCUUAUAAUACGAUUAAGCAUAUAUAGGGGUUCUAUAUCCAUAAGUACCAUCUUCUGCCCAAGUAACUGGUCCAUAAUAAUAAUACAUUGGGGAGGCCACUCAUCAUCUUCCAAGCUACCUAUAUUCAAAGAUGCUCGCUUCGUUUUAUGAUUCACAUCAUAAACCUUAACUCCCAAGGUCUCUCCUGUUUCAAUUGGCAACAAGAAGGAUGGUUUGCGCACACCUAGAACACAUGCCCCUUCCCAGUCUUGUGGUAACUCAGAAUAUGCCUUCUUAUCACAAAUCCAAUAUAAAUUUGCUGGGGCUUUCCAGUUGGAUGUAGCAGAUAAAUUAAACCAUACCUCUUUCAAAUUAGUGUAAUUGACAAAUGGAUUAGUAGGUUCCAAGACAUUUGAAGCUGACCACCAAGUAGUAUCUUUUGUAUUAUCAUUAUAAGCCUUUUGUCCCAAACAUGUUAACUCACCUACAGAUGUGUUAUACAUUAUCCCUUUCCUAGCUACACAAACAUGACCUAUAAUAGAUGUUUUUAACCGCCAUCCUGAUUUACCUCUAGUACUCGUUUGACGAUCAGACUGAGAAAGUAUCUGUUGUUCAUCUGUCUCAGAACCAGGGGGACAUGCUUCCUUUGCUUCCCAUGGCCACUGGUCUCCCAUGUUAGUACCUCCACAUACAAAACAGUUAGUUACAUUAAAGGACCACUCUAGGCACCCAGACCACUUCAGCUUAAUGACAGCCACUAGAGGCGCUUGCGUGCUUCUCACUGUGAUUUUCACAGUGAGAGCACGCCAGCGUCCAUAGGAAAG